rnacentral:rRNA from 1 species
UACGUAGGGCGCAAGCGUUGUCCGGAAUUAUUGGGCGUAAAGAGCUCGUAGGCGGUUUGUCGCGUCUGCUGUGAAAACUCGAGGCUCAACCUCGGGCUUGCAGUGGGUACGGGCAGACUAGAGUGCGGUAGGGGUGACUGGAAUUCCUGGUGUAGCGGUGGAAUGCGCAGAUAUCAGGAGGAACACCGAUGGCGAAGGCAGGUCACUGGGCCGCAACUGACGCUGAGGAGCGAAAGCAUGGGGAGCAAACAGG